GACGAACGCUGGCGGCGUGCUUAACACAUGCAAGUCGAGCGGUAAGGCCACUUCGGUGGUACACGAGCGGCGAACGGGUGCGUAACACGUGAGUAAUCUGCCCUUCACUUUGGGAUAAGCCCGGGAAAUCGGGUCUAAUACCGGAUAUACACUUCUUCGCGCAUGUGGAGUUGUGGAAAGCUUUUGUGGUGGAGGAUGGGCUCGCGGCCUAUCAGCUUGUUGGUGGGGUAAUGGCUUACCAAGGCUUUGACGGGUAGCCGGCCUGAGAGGGUGACCGGCCACACUGGGACUGAGACACGGCCCAGACUCCUACGGGAGGCAGCAGUGGGGAAUAUUGGACAAUGGGCGGAAGCCUGAUCCAGCAACGCCGCGUGAGGGAUGACGGCCUUCGGGUUGUAAACCUCUUUCAGUACCGACGAAGCGAAAGUGACGGUAGGUACAGAAGAAGCACCGGCCAACUACGUGCCAGCAGCCGCAGUAACAC
rnacentral:rRNA from 1 species